rfam:Schistosoma mansoni strain Puerto Rico chromosome 6, complete genome
GCACUGGUAAGGAGUCCCACAAUAGGACGAAACGGCCGUCCAGUGC